UUGUCGCUACUGCAACACAUAUGCUAAAAUUGGAACAAUACAGAGAUUAGCAUGGCCUCUGCAUAAGGAUGACAUGCAAAUUAGUGAAGAGUUCCUUUUUUUU
rnacentral:snRNA from 1 species